CCGGGGAUACCCCUCCCGGACGUCACGGAGGAGCCGAGGCCGCGGUGGAGGCCCGGGGCUCAUCCUGCACUUGCAUCACGGGUGCAGCAGCAGCUGCUCAGCUCCUUUGUGGCUUUUUCCCCUGUUGAGUAACUGCUUUGUUAACUGAAAAUACCAUGACGGGCCAGUGUGAUCACCAGCUCCAGACCUCAAAGAAAGUGAAGCUGUCAGACAAGGAGAGGGAGACUCCCCUAGUCGGCUGCGAUGAUAUCUGGUGGGUGGGUGUGUAGAGAAGCACUUGACAGUUUCCACGUAUUACUUCUUGCCUAACUAACUCUUCACCCCCAAGAGUGUUUAAAAAUACUUUUAUUUCCAUGCUGUAAAAAUUUCAUGUGUUCUGCACCCCGCCCAUUCCCCCUUCAAUUUGAAGUCUCAGGCAGAAUUGGAAUCACAAUUUAGUAGGAACCCUAAAAUUAGGUACAGUUUUUAGGAAACAGGACGUCUUUCAUUGAAUUCAUUUAAUAAGCUGCGUUUUCUAAACGUUAAUGUAUAAAAGGUCCUUGCCCACUCACAGUAGUUAUAAAGCUACUAGCCAAGUUUGUUCAUAUGAAUUGGGCUCCCUCAGUGACAGUUUUAAACCUGUAUCUUUGUUUACCUUGAAUUUAAAAAAAGAAUUCCAUUCCUUGCUGAUUAUCUCCAGGUAAAGCAUUUCUCGCUCUGAGUAGGUGUAUCUUUCUGGACGUCUAUGUUCAUUAAUUCUGUGCUUUCCUCCCCCGACCCCCUCCUUCCAUCCUCCCCUUCUUGAGUAUCAGUCACCAAUCUUGGUUCCUUGAUGAUUGUUAGGCUGAGGGCUGUUGUCUGAUUGCCCAGAGCCAAUCAGCUGGCUUAGUGCUCCUAUGGGUAGGAAGCUGGACUGACUGCUGGAGAGGUUUCAGUGGUCCCUGAUAAGUGGCAACAUUUCUGCACUCAAAUGGAAAGUCAUGGAAACAGAGACGAGGCUCUGUUAUUACAGAGUGGGACACCAUCCUCUGCUUAACCCUGUAAUAGGUCCCUAAACAUGUGCAAUUCUUUAGGUGACCUCAAGUGUAAUGGAUCAUUCUAUUCUCUUUCAAAUUAAUAGCUAUUGUUCUAUACCUUUUCAAAAGUCUGAUUUACUAGAAAUCAGGCAUAAUAUUCUGUAAGGCAUAUGUAUGACUAUUUCGGUAAUCUAAAUUUCCUUUUUGAUGACUUAAACAAAACUUAAUACUUUAUAAUUAAAAUAUCUUCUUUUAGGAAAUCAAGUGGAAUAAGACGACCAGGGUCUCUGAGGUGUUGAAAAUGUACCUGAUUUGGUCCUUUUUCUAGAAGAGGGACAUUCAUAUUUAUGUCCUAGUUUAUAUACACAAAGCAAAGAAAGCAGUUUCUGCUUUCAUGAUACUUAUGGCAGCCAAUCUGUUAACUCUUUCUAUGAAAUAACUAUUACAGGUCCAUUGGAUAAUUAACUUUCAUUUUGUUUUGGUUUUGUAGGUAGAGUCUGUCUGCAAGAAAGAACAUAAAAUACGAAAUUUGGGAGAAAUUUAUUGUGUGUGAGACAAAGCAAUUGCUAUAACAAUGUGGAAUUUAAACAAUUGCUUUAAAUGCUCUUCUGAUUAAGCAAUGAUAUUAUAAUCUUGUUGACUAUACUAUUAUGUAAAGAAUGAUAAAACAAAUGAUGAUGAGUCUUAGUAAUGCAAAGAUUGGGUGAGGAAAGGUAAAAUAAAAAAUUCAAGCCACAAGUUGUUAACUAGGGUGAAUAUAGGAAGGAAAAGUAAAAAAAUAAAAAAAUAAAAAAAACAGUAUGAGUCCAAGUUUUCUAGAAUCAGCAUAGAAGUUCUAUACUACAUUUAAGAUAUGUAUAUAAAACUUUUAACUUGAGCUGACAUUGAUUUAUAUACUUAAGUGUACUGGGCUCAAGAAUGUGAACUAAUGUAAUAGUUUUCUGUCCGACCUACCUGCAUACUAUCUGUUCCUUGUCAAUUCUGUCAUUGCCAGAUCACUCUUCCUAAAAUACGGCUUUUGUUAUGUCAUUCUUGGGCUCAAACAUCUUUAGCAGCUGGACUUUGUCUCUACAAUAAAAGCCCAAAGCCUUCACAUCCUGGCCUCUUAAUUUUCACAGGACUUCCCUGUGCUAGUCAAACUGGUAUCCUCACUGUUCUUCAAACAUCCUUUCACCCUCCCACAUUUGUUCAUAGUUUUCCUUUUUAUGGCAUUCCCUUCUUCUCUGCUUAUUGAAAUCUUACCCUUCCUCUACAGCUAGCUCAAGAAAUGAACUCAGAUUAUGCUUUAGUCUUUCAUAAGCUUCUCAUUUUACUGCCUUUUUGUGUUCUUGUGUCUGUUGCUUGUUCUCCUGUCAAACUAUAAGCUUCAGAAGCAUGCCUCACACAUCUUUGAGAUGUCUGUGGAGCCUAAAUUUAACAUAGACAGGAAAUACCCAUAAAAUAUCCCCCCAUUUAAAUUUGAAUAUGAAUUGAGAAUGGCUAUAAUAUAAGUAACAAAUUGUGUGGGUUAGGAUAUUCUUGGCAUGAGUAGAGUAUGUGAGAUCAUACAGUAGUUGUUUUCUUUAUCUGAACUUUCGAUACUCCUGAUUGAAUAUAUCUUGUCAAGGUGCCCGCCACAAGCCCAGGCAGCUGCAUGGUAUUACAAGGAAAUUGCAGUUUGGCCUGUACCUGUUAUAUCUGCGUAGAUAGAUUUGCUUAUGAUGAUUCUUUUCUGAUAAACUUUUGGUUUCACUCUUAUUCUACCCUCUUUCCCCUUCUAUGUGUACUUUUUUUUAGGCUGCUUCCUAUUAGUGCUGAACUGGAUGCUGUAGGCUAGGAAAUUUUCAUAUCAACUUCUUUGGAAAAAAUUUCUUAAGGUUUAGAGAAUUGAGAACCAUGAUAUCUAUGCAUAACCAGUUAAAAAUAAAAAUUCUUGAACUUCUUACACUUUCCAAAAUGUAUUUAAAUAAAUUUUAUAACUAUAUAUAUGCAGAAGUAAACUAGGCAAAGAGAUUUUGGAAUUAUGAUUUGUCAGAAGUUUUAGAGAAAAGCCCAUGUGACUUAGAAUAUUAAAAUUUGACAAAGAAGAAAUAUUAUAGCUCAGGAAAGAUUUUCUAUGUUAUAGGAAAUUUUGGUAAAAAGUGAAAACCCAAGAUGGAAUGAUUGCUUAGUAGUGUAAGUGCUAAUAAUAUUUUAACAUCUCAUUAAGUAAUAUUUUUCUAUUCAUUAGUAAAUAACAGGACAUGCUUGCAAUCUGGUUAAAAAGAUAGUUUAUUUCUUAUGUUUUCCCCAGUCUCUUGUAAACUCUGGAAGACCACAGUGAUUCGGGGGACAAAAGCUGUUACUCAUGUGUGAUAAAUCAAUUCAGUAUAUUAUUUCUGCCUGAGAAAUAAGAUCUGCAUUUUAGCUAGAGUUGACAGAUGAAGUAAAUAUCUCUUUUCACAUAUAACUACACAACCCUUUCCCAUCGCCUAACUCUGAAAAAAAAGAAAAAAGAAAGAAAAAAAACGAUUGCCUCACAUAUACAAGAACAGUUCCUUCAGCAUAUUCUCCAAGAGUGGGAUGCUGUAUUUCACAGAGACCACUAGAUUGCUUCUCAGAGGCCUGGAUCUGACUCUGCUGCAAUGAUGCUGCAAAGCCUUGGGGCAUCUUGACUGUUCUUUACUAUUGGACCUUUUUUUGGGAUCAUAUUUCUUAUCUCUGCCUUCAGACUUUCCCCUGAUGCUGGUCUCUGCCUUAGACCAGGGUUUUUCACAGAAAGCAACAAGGAACUAGCCAGCACCCACGUCUUCUGGAGCUUGGGGGACUGUUCAAAUAUCUGGUGGUGUGACUGCUCCUGUUGGUCAUUCAUUCAUUCCUUUUCCUGACUCUGAUUCUGAUUUCUCACUUUGAUCUUGGUGCCUGCUCUUGCAUAGUUUGCAUCUUAGCUUGUCCUCAAGAAUGUUCAAUAGAUUUAUUUUCCUCUUUUCCUUGUCCCCUCUUUCCCCAAAUCUCCCUCAUCCACUCCUUCCUUCAUUUGUGACUUUACUUUGUGGCCAACGGGGGCUAUUCUAAGCAAAUGUGUAUAAUCUUUGCCAGAAAUAAUGGUGAGUUAAAUUAAAUAAGUAAUCAUACAGCUAUUUGGUCUUGACUGGUAUGGUAAAAAGGAAGAAUAGUUCUGCACUUGGUCCAUUCUCCUGUUUAGUGCCUUUUACUCGUGGCAUAGAAUAGGGAAAUGAUCUAGGGGUCACGGCCCUUGAGUCUGCAUUAUGGCUUCACUAUUUGCUACCUGAAAAAUCUUGGGUGAGUCACUUAAAGACACUGAGUUUCUUCUUUGAAAUUUACCAAUUCUUGUCUAAUUUUUUUAGUAGUAUUAUGAUUCAAAUGAAAUAAGGUAAACAUGGAAAUGAAAGAAACUUUUUAGAAAAAAGAAUAUUCAAGCUUGGUUGGAUUUUCUGAUUAUUUUCCAGUGAACUAAUGUCAAAGGCUCUAGAAUCAGCCUUGUGUAGCUUGUUAGUCUGUAAAAAAGUAGUGGAGUAUGAUAUGGGGCAUAAUAAUAGAAAUAAUUAAGGAUUGAAAUUGGUAUUUUUGUGGCAACUUAUAGCCGUAAAUGAAAAGAAAGAGCCACACAAUGUGAAAAGGAAGUGAAGGUCAGGAUGUUGAACUUGAGGCUUAUUUCUAGUUCAACCAGAAAUUCUGGUGAGCCAAGCAAGGUAGGGGAAAGAGAAACCAGCAGAGGAAACACCCCCCUCUAGUGGCCAGCAGCCAGAUUCUAUACUUGAUUGCUAAGAUGGGUGAGGAGAAUGGAUGACUCCUUAGGAUGUUUAAGUUUCUUAAGAAGGGUCCUGGGAAUCUAGAGUUAGAACUCUUAGGGAAGUUCUUCAGCUCCAGCUUUGUUUAUCAAGAGAGCUAACACAUUUCACAGAAUAAGUAGUAUCUUGGCACUCUCAUGUGGAAUUGAUUGAAAAAUAUAGAGGCUAUGGUUGUUGGAAGAGGUUUAGUUUAUUUUUAUGUAGGCCAUCUAGAGAUCAUGAAAAUUAGGAGACUUGUUGCUAAACUUCUUAUUGUUUCUGAGACAAUACAGUGCGUGCCUUUAUAAACCCAUUUGUAGGGGGAUAAAGCCUAUAUUAAAACUUACGGAUAAUGCCAUAGCAUAGUUUUGUCUAUAUUCAUAUAAAAGAAUGUCUGUGGAUUUCCUAAGUAUGAUUUUUGAUUUGAAAAUUUUAGUGACUAUCCUGAGAACUAAAUGUUUAAUUUGCAUCUCAGAAGUGAUUUAAUUGCUACCUGUAGAAAAGUGGUGAAGUUGGGUAUAUUAAAAUAACAUAUUACCCACAAUUCAGUGG